CAGAAAUUUGACUCAAACCUUGAGAAAGUGUUCCUGGCAUAGUGCAUGAUGCUGUCAAAGUCGUACGUUUCACCGAGCGAGUCCACCUCUUCUGGUUCCAUCUUUAGAAAGUUGUAUUCUUGCCCUGCGAAGGGUUUUGUACUGUUUCCCUGGUAACAUUUCAGAAGAGACCUUAGUAUCUUCAAAUAUGCUCCAGUUCCAGACACGAUUACAUGGAACAUAUUCCCUGCUAAAGCAGCACACCAAGAUCAGUAAGGUCCCUAAUCACUUUUGAACUGAGGAGCUUGCAGUAGAAAGUUACCUACAUUACUGUGGGUCUGAAGUCACAACAAAAGGCCAGACCUGAUGCUGCCUGACCUGCUGGGUGUUUCCAGGAUUUUCUGUUUUUGCGUCAGAUUUCCAGUAGCUGCAGUAUUUUGAUUUUCACUCACCAUCUAGAGUCUCAGAUGAAGAAUGGCAGAGAAAGUGGGACUUGUAGAGCUAUAACUAACGACGAAGGGUAGGAAGGGGAAAAUCCGGGAAGAAACAGACUUCAAAAGCGAGAAAAAUGUGGUGCCACAGACUAGAUCAUAAAGCACAAAUUAUAGACUCUG